CCUUCUAGUUCCAACGCCCAAAGGUUGGGCAUCCUCCAUCUCCAUGCCCAAGAGGAGCUUGGGCGUCUUUUUUUUUUGCUGAUUUUCUGACCUUGAUUGCAUCAUAAUCAAGAGAAGAAGAGCAAGAAAAGAAGAGAAGAAAAAGAUCAAAGAAAGAAAUAAAGAGUUAAUCAUGAUCCAGACUUCGUUCAGAUUCACAGGGUGAU
rnacentral:lncRNA from 1 species